rnacentral:lncRNA from 1 species
GAGGAGUAGAGGAGAAGUGGAGGAGAGGAGGAGUAGAGGAGAAGUGGAGGAGAAGAGUAGGAGAGAGGAGAAGAGGAGGAGAGCGGAGAAGUGGAGGAGAAGGGGAGGAGAGAGGAGAAGAGGAGGAGAGAGGAGAAGUGGAGGAGAAGAGUAGGAGAGAGGAGAAGAGGAGAAGAGGAGGAGUAGAGGAGAAGUGUAGGAGAAGAGUAGGAGAGAGGAGAAGUAGAGGAGUAGAGUAGGAGAGAGGAGAAGAGGAGGAGUAGAGUAGGAGAGAGGAGAAGAGGAGAAGAGGAGAAGAGGAGGAGAGAGUAGGAGAGGAGUAGGAGAAGAGUAGGAGAGAGGAGAAGAGGAGAAGAGGAGGAGAAGAGUAGGAGAGAGGAGAAGAGGAGGAGUAGAGAGGAGAAGAGGAGGAGUAGAGUAGGAGAGAGGAGAAGAGGAGAAGAGGAGGAGAGAGGAGAAGAGGAGGAGAAGAGAGGAGUAGAGGAGAAGUGGAGGAGAAGAGGAGAAGAGGAGGAGAGAGGAGAAGAGGAGGAGUAGAGGAGAAGAGGAGAAGAGGAGAAGAGGAGAAGAAGAGGAGAAGAGGAGAAGAAGAGGAGAAGAAGAGGAGAAGAGGAGAAGAAGAGGAGAAGAGGAGGAGAAGUGGGGGAGAAGAUUAGGAGAGAUGGAAAAUCAAUGUCUCCCAGACAGACAGCGGCUAAUGGGCAUCUGAAGUAGAGGAGGACGUUUUCCCCUGUUUACCCCGUUGUCCCUGAGAACCCACAGAACUAGAAUGUAAGCGGUGUUUGUUCUAUUAAUUCCAUUCUAUCAAUUGUAAUUCCAUAGCGAAACAAAGCUGGACUGAAGGACCACGGACUGACCCGACCCAGAGAACACAGUGCUGUUUACUACUUCAUUUUACAGAGGAAAUUGGAAAACCAAAGAGCUGAGCGUAAGCAGGGGUACACAACCCACUCCUGUCCUGGGUCUCAGAGAGAGCAUCAGGUAGAUCUUCUCACUGAACAACAUGAUUCAUUCAUGAUCA